CACGUAGGGUGCGAGCGUUGUUCGGAAUUACUGGGCGUAAAGGGCUCGUAGGCGGCCAACUAAGUCAGACGUGAAAUCCCUCGGCUUAACCGGGGAACUGCAUCUGAUACUGGAUGGCUUGAGAUUGGGAGAGGGAUGCGGAAUUCCCGGUGUAGUGGUGAAAUGCGUAGAUAUCGGGAGGAAUACCAGUGGCGAAGGCGGCUUCUUGGCCUGUUCUUGACGCUGAGGCGCGAAAGCUAGGGGAGCAAACGGGG
rnacentral:rRNA from 1 species